rnacentral:tRNA from 1 species
UAAAUUAUAUCUUAAUUUAAAGAAUUUGUUUUGAAAACAAAAAAUAUUAAAUUUAUUUUUAAUUUAU